rnacentral:lncRNA from 1 species
ACGAUACACUGUUAGUUCUAUAUAUGCUGUUAGUUUAAGGGAACUAAAUAGCACAAUGACAUCCUUACCAUCCCCUGCUCUCUUCGCACCCACACUGCCUGCUGAGGGGACAGGGAAGAUGGAAUUGUCUAUGAACAACAGACAAGAAAAAAGUCUGCGAAUGCCUUGGGCGGGAUGUGCGAGAUUCCUCGAUGUCAGGCCCACAGACUGGAAUGAGACGCCACCCUCUGUUGCCGACAUCCCUAAAUACAGCCAAGACGCUGGGAACUGAUUGAAAUGGAAACACAACGGUUCCUUGGAAAAUCUGUCGGGUGGCGUUUUGCUGGGGCAAACACGUGAAGGAACAUUUCGUUAAAGUGGACACAGGUGUGAAAGGCUCAGGCCGACUUGUGAAGGAACGUUUCCCUGAAGCAGACCCAGGAGAGAGGAUAUUCUGCUAAAGCAAGCAUGUGAAAGGACACAUGAUGAAGGACUCUUUGCUAACAACACUCAGGUAUUGGUCCACCUUACACUGCAUAGUUGAGCUGCAUUUGUCAGGACUCCAUAGAGAGAAACGCACCAAAAAACAUCUGGUGAUGUACUGCAGUUUCUUGCUGCUUCUGUGCACUCUGGCUGAUUGGAUGCAUGUGCCGAGGCAAGACCUGUGGAGGACUCGUGGUGUUAGGAGAGGGCAAUGCUUGCAGGUCUCUCGUCUUUGCUGAUCUUCGCUUCCCUGAGAGAGGCAAGGCCAAGAACUUCUCCUGGUGUUCCUGUCAGUCCCUCCUGCUGACUCGAGCCUAGACUGAGGCCUGGCUGUCUCUGCU